rnacentral:rRNA from 1 species
UGAGGAAUAUUGCGCAAUGGGGGGAACCCUGACGCAGCGACGCCGCGUGAGUGAUGAAGGCCUUCGGGUUGUAAAGCUCUGUCAGAGGGAAAGAAAGGGGAUGCGGAAUAAUACCCGCAGCCAUUGACGGUACCCUCGGAGGAAGCACCGGCUAACUCCGUGCCAGCAGCCGCGGUAAUACGGAGGGUGCAAGUGUUAUUCGGAAUCACUGGGCGUAAAGAGCACGUAGGCGGAUGGGUAAGUCAGAUGUGAAAUCCCGGGGCUGAACGGCGGAAAUGCAUUUGAGACUGCCCGUCUUGAGUGUGGUAGAGGGGGAUGGAAUGCCCGGUGUAGAGGUGAAAUUCGUAGAUAUCGGGAGGAACACCAGAGGCGAAGGCGAGCCCCUGGGCCAUUACUGACGCUGAGGUGCGAAAGCGUGGGGAGCAAACAG